UCUCUGCCGCCGUUUUUAAGAGGCUUUUUAAAAUUCUUGGAAAAAUCUUUAGGAGAGCCUUAGGAAUUUCAGCCUCACUUCUUUAACUCCUGUGUCAUCUUUCAGCAUGUGGAUAUCGGGAUGAAAGCUUUGGUGAGAUUUCUGUCCGGAGCUGAAACAGAAAGCAAAGUUAUCAGAGCAGGCUGAAUGCCAGAGUGGUUGAUGCUGGAAGGGACCUCUGGAGGGGAUCUGGUCCAUCCCUGCUCCACGAGGGAUGGUGGCUCACAUCUCUGUGACAAUAACAUCAACAGGACAAAUCUCAGCAUUUUCUUUGGCUACACAUUUCAAAUGCCAGGAUGACCAAUUUAGAACAGACAUAGAACAAUGCCAGAGAGGAGACCUCUUUACAUGCAAGACUAAAACAAGUUUAUAAAGAAGUCUCAGAGUUAUCAAGGAUUCCUGCACUGGACUGAAGCAGCCAGCCUUGUUUUUCAGGCUAAUCCAGACUACUUCCACAUGGAGCAUCCUUAGCAAAUGUGCACUGAACAGAAAACCUGUGCUGGCAAGUAAUGAGAACAUUGAAUAGACCUCUCCUGUGGGAAACAUAGUAAAGGUAAAAAGACUUUGAAAAGGUGUGAAAGCAGACCUCAGAAUCACAUCUCUGGUUUGUGAAGAUCUUUGGGGAUUGAAGGAGCCACAGAGAUGUUGACAAUCAAAAAAAGAUGUUUUGCAGUAGUUUGUUAUCAGUCCAAAGGGAGGAAACAGCUGGAGAGUUCCUAGAGCAGCUCAUGCAAUCUCCCAAACCAGAUCACUCCUAUCACCCUGUGACCCUGGAACGUGAUGGAGCCAAGAGUGGAAUUGUGGAAUGCCAUGGAACAUCUGCUCUGCUCCAAAGACCAUGCCCUGUCAUUAACAGGGAUAUUCUAAUUUCCUUAUUAUUGUGAUUCCUUAUUAAUGUCAUGAGGAAAAUUCAGAAAAAUGAGGAAGAAGAUAAUCAAAACUGAUGAGGCAGAGGAACAACAUUUUUUCUUAUUUUCCAACUUCUUUCCAGUGCAUGCCUGCUGACCCACCUAUCUCCAGACCCACCUAUCUCCAGACCAGAGAGCCAAGGGCAGGGUCUUUGCCCAAGAAAACAAACUUGUGUACCCUCUGCACGUGGGUUUUGCCUAUGAAUCACCUCCUGGUGUCAUUCCAGAUAUUUUCUGUGCCUGCAUUAAAACCAUUCCAAGAGUGGGAUGGAUAUGAGAUGAAAGAUGCCUUGAUAGAAGAAGUUCUAAUUUCAUGUGGAAUUGCUUCAGGAUUUAUGGAUCUGAGAAAAACCUUGCAGAUGUGUUUCUGAGCAUUAACUUAUCACUGAAUAGGCACUGUUUCAACAUAAUUUAUAUUUCAGUCUUGGGAUUUCCCUGACAGCCUCCUCCAAACCAUUCCUGCCUGCUAAUGUCCUGUCAGAUUUAAUGAUUCUGGCUUCUCUGACAGUUUUAUCCUAAUGUGAAAUAAAUGCCUUCCUGAUGCUUCGCUCUGUGUUGCUGAUGAUGUGAUAGAUCAACAUUUUUAUUUAUGUUUGUCUUUUGGCCUUUAGAGGAUAAUCAAAGCUGGCCACUGAAGGCCAUGAAAUGGAUCCUGUUGGCUUCACUGGAAGCCAGACCAGUCCCCUGCCCAGGUGGGAAUGCAAUGGUCACUGAUGCAGAUAUGGAGGGGAUCAGCCCCAAAGCAGGGGAAUAAAUCUCAAAGGAAACCACUCCUUCUGGAUAACUAAAGACAGAUGAGUGAUUUGAGAGACAAAAUAUUUUUGCCAGAGGAAGUAGAAAGAAGGGAAAGUCCUGAGGCUCUUGGGAUAUCACAGGACCAGUUGCAUUAGGAAGAAGGAAAGUUUUCCUCACUAAAGCUUCUUUCACUUUAUACAACCCAAUGUCCAGGUUUCACACAGCCCCCACAGCCAGCCCUGGUGUAUCACCCACGGGGAUUUACUCCGGACACAGCAUUUCUUUACUCAGCCCUUGCAAGAAAUAACAUCUUUGACUCGAGGCUUAAAUUUUGCUUCAGAGACACUGGGUCCAAUCCAAUGCCAGCAGGACAAAUGGUCCUCCCUGGGAAGUUGUCAUCUUUCCAAAGAAUAAUCUUUUUCUUCAGGUUUUGCCUUUUCUGGGCUGCAAAUCCCCAUGCUGUGGUCCCUCAGGACUGAUUAUCAUGGGAAGAGGAUCACAGUUAUGGGAUUUGUCUCCUAGAUUGAAACAGAGGCUUCUCCAGAGGCUCUCACAAACACAUCCCUCUCCUUUGGAUAAGUGCAUGGAUCCUAACCUGCUGACUUUUGUGUCAAACUUUGGGUUUUAAAAUGAGGUGACAAUGUCUAUUGCCUGAAUUACGGAGCCUACAGAGGGAUGCACAUAGUUCUGGAAACUUGAUAACUGCAAACUAAUACACACCAAGGGACGUAUUCCCCAUGAUAAGACUUGAUUCUCACUUAUUUCGUUGAUUUUUCCGUGCCUGCUUAAUGUGACCAAAAUAUCUUCAGAACAAGUCAAUGCAAGAAAACAGGGCGGCCCCGAAUAACAAAAUAUGAGGUGGAGAAGAAAAUCCUAUCUCUAACACAGAAAAUAUUUCAGAAAACAUCAUUUUUCACUCUACUGUUUCCUUCUCUGAUUUUUUAAUCUACAUUUUUUUCCACAGAAUAAGCCAGACCAAAAAAAAACUCCAACUAACAAAAAACACCAUCCCAAAACCCCAAACCUUCUCAAAAGGUCAGAACGAUGAAUAAUAUUUCAUACUGCAGGUUGCAGAGUCAUUGCAUUCCUUUUCAACAGCUCCAAAACCACAUGAGAAAGUUUGAAAAUACUUUUGAAGAUAGCAGGCAAUGAGUCCACUUACAGAGGGCCUCACUCUCCUACUUAGGCAAUAUUCAGCCUAUAAAACCUAAUAACUGGUAACAGCUUCCAUUAUUAACAGCAAAUCCUCUAUAGGUAAAUUAUCCCUUAAUCUGCCAUUACCACUGUCAACAUUUAAUUAAUGUGUUUAAAGGCUUGGUGCUGCCUCAGUGAGGCAAAGGAAUUUUUUACCAUUUAUUUAGAGCUAAAUCAUAACCCAAUUGCCAUUUUUAGACACCUGAACACUCUCUGACUUUCCAGGUGUGCAACAGCAUUCUUUCCAGCAGCAGCAGUUGGUUUCUAGACAGAUUUUGAAGCCUAAUUUCAGGGCUAAUUUCAGUGUUUUCCUGAAAUAUAAGUAUUGUUUAAAUAUCAAGUACUUCAGUGGUGCUCAGUCAUCAUUAUUUGUCUUCAUUCUGUAAAUGAAUACUCAUGAAUUAAUUAAUCCUAGGGCAUGAUGGAGGGAUAAACCACUUGUGUUUCACACGCAGUUUAUGCAUGUGAGAAAUUUCAGGUUUAGGAGCAGUGCUUUCUUUUCCAUAACUUUCUUUUCCAAUUUAACCCAACUCCUGGAAGGGGCAAUUUUUCCAGGAACCAGUUUGGUAUGAAACUUCUUCUAAUAUAAAGACACCACUGCAUGUGGAA